rnacentral:rRNA from 1 species
AACGGAGGGGGCAAGCGUUAUUCAUCCUUAUUGGGCGUAAAGGGUAUGUAGGUAAUGAAAAGUGUUUUGGGAAAAAUUUCAGGUUUAUUUCUUGAGAGAUCAAAAAACAUUUGAUUAAUUCGAGAUCUUUUUGCAGUUGGCGGAAUUACUAAUGUAAAGGUAGAAUAUUACGAUCUUAGUACGAAUACCAAUAGCGAAAGCGGCUUCUUAAUGAUCUGACACUGAGGUACGAAAGCAUGGGGAUCAAACAGGAGUUAGAAUAUCCCG